GCAAGGUGUUUUAUACCCAGCUAGAGAGAUGGCUCGGAGCAACACAUCAAUGUGUCACCUGCCUGGUAACCCUCGGUUUGUUAGGAUGUCUGGUCUUGCAGGCGUGUUAGCCUAUCGGCAUCUUCAGCAGGAGGAUCGUCUGGGGACCAGAAAGGACAUGGACAUAGGUGAGCCGGAGAGACAGGGUCCACAGAAGAGGGAGCUGAGGAAAGGUCGUGCGGCCCGGUCCGCGGCCCCAUCACUCGCCUCACCCCGCAGUCGGCGCACGUGUCGCCCAGCAUGCGGUAACCACGGAGCAGGUAGUCCCCCAUCAGACGGGAGAUGCGAUCCUGCCGCUCCCGUCGCGCCUGCAGCACCUUCGUCUCAGCUUCAGUCGGAGGCUCCCAGGUGAAAUCGUCGACAUCUGGAGAAGACAGGCACAGGAGAUGGAGCGAG
rnacentral:lncRNA from 1 species